UUGCUCGUUUCAGCAGCAUAUAUACUAAAAUUGGAACAAUACAGAGAAGAUUAGCAUGGCCUUUGCACGUGGAUGACAUGCAUGUCUGUGAAGUGUCCCAUAUUUUU